GAUGAACGCUAGCGGCAGGCUUAACACAUGCAAGUCGAGGGGCAACACGGGUAGCAAUACCUGGUGGCGACCGGCGCAAGGGUGCGUAACGCGUGAGCAACAUACCCUAUACAGGGGGAUAAUCCAGGGAAACUUGGUCUAAUAUCCCAUAGGAUUUACAGAUGUCAUCAUCUAUAAAUUAAAGCUUCGGUGGUAUAGGAUUGGCUCGCGUGACAUUAGCUAGAUGGUGGGGUAACGGCCUACCAUGGCCAUGAUGUCUAGGGGUUCUGAGAGGAAGACCCCCCACACUGGGACUGAGACACGGCCCAGACUCCUACGGGAGGCAGCAGUGAGGAAUAUUGGACAAUGGAUGGAAAUCUGAUCCAGCCAUGCCGCGUGCAGGAAGACGGCCCUAUGGGGUUGUAAACUGCUUUUAUAUGGGAGCAAUAAGGUCUACGCGUAGACCGAUGAGAGUACCAUAUGAAUAAGCAUCGGCUAA
rnacentral:rRNA from 1 species